GACGAACGCUGGCGGCGUGCCUAAUACAUGCAAGUUGAGCGAUGAAGAUUGGUGCUUGCACCAAUUUGAAGAGCAGCGAACGGGUGAGUAACGCGUGGGGAAUCUGCCUUUGAGCGGGGGACAACAUUUGGAAACGAAUGCUAAUACCGCAUAACAACUUUAAACAUAAGUUUUAAGUUUGAAAGAUGCAAUUGCAUCACUCAAAGAUGAUCCCGCGUUGUAUUAGCUAGUUGGUGAGGUAAAGGCUCACCAAGGCGAUGAUACAUAGCCGACCUGAGAGGGUGAUCGGCCACAUUGGGACUGAGACACGGCCCAAACUCCUACGGGAGGCAGCAGUAGGGAAUCUUCGGCAAUGGACGAAAGUCUGACCGAGCAACGCCGCGGGAGUGAAGAAGGUUUUCGGAUCGUAAAACUCUGUUGGUAGAGAAGAACGUUGGUGAGAGUGGAAAGCUCACCAAGUGACGGUAACUACCCAGAAAGGGACGGCUAACUACGUG
rnacentral:rRNA from 1 species